CUCCCUAUCGCUCAUCGUUUUCUAUCCAAAAUUUAACAUUAUUCUAUUUCUAUAAUAAGACAGUAAUAUAAUUAAUAAAAUUUAUCCUUCUUUAUUCAAUUAAGUCAAAAUCUAACUAUAUGGGACCUAACUAUCCACUACUAGAUUUUAAGUUCUACCCAUGAUCAAAUCUAUAGCUCUGAUACCAUAAAAUAUCACACCCC
rnacentral:lncRNA from 1 species